rnacentral:rRNA from 1 species
GGGGAAUCUUGCGCAAUGGACGAAAGUCUGACGCAGCGACGCCGCGUGGGUGAUGAAGGCCUUCGGGUCGUAAAGCCCUGUGGGGAGAGAAGAAUAAGCAAGGGCUAAUACUCCUUGUGAUGACGGUAUCUCCUUAGCAAGCACCGGCUAACUCUGUGCCAGCAGCCGCGGUAAGACAGAGGGUGCAAACGUUGUUCGGAAUUACUGGGCGUAAAGCGUGUGUAGGCGGUUCUGUAAGUCAGGUGUGAAAGCCCGGGGCUCAACCCCGGAAGUGCACUUGAUACUGCAGGGCUAGAGUACCGGAGAGGUUGGUGGAAUUCUCGGUGUAGAGGUGAAAUUCGUAGAUAGCGAGAGGAACACCGGUGGCGAAGGCGGCCAACUGGACGGAUACUGACGCUGAGACACGAAAGCGUGGGGAGCAAAC